rnacentral:lncRNA from 1 species
GAAGCACCUCUCUAGCGGAGACCUGCUCCAGGAUCAACAUGCUGCGGGGCACAGAAAUUAAUGUGUUAGCUAACGCUUUCAUUGACCAAAGGAAACUCAUCCGAGAUGAUGUCAUGACUCAGCUGGCCCUAUAUGAGCUGAAAAAUCUCACUUAGUAUAGCUAGCUGUUGGGUGGUUUUCCAUGGACACUUCCACAGGCAGAAGCCCUAGACUAAGCUUCUUAGACAGACAAAGUGAUUAGCCCGAAUGUGCCCUUUGAGGUCAUUAAACAAUGCCUUACUGCUCGCUAGAUUCAUCCUGCCAGUGGCUGAGUCUACAACAUUGAAUUCAACCCUCCCAAAACUGUGGGCACUGAUGAUCUGACUGGGGAUCCUCUCAUUCAGCAUGAGGAUGAUAAACCAGAGACGGUUAUCAAAAGACUAAAGGCUUAUGAAGCCCAAACAAAGCCAGUCCUGGAAUAUUACCAAGCUUUUCUACAAACUAAAGUUCCACAAAGAAGCCAGAAAGCUGCCAUUACUC